CUUCCGUAGGGUGAACCUGCGGAGGGAUCAUUGCUGGAACGCGCCCCAGGCGCACCCAGAAACCCUUUGUGAACUUAUACCUUUUGUUGCCUCGGCGCAUGCUGGCCUCUAGUAGGCCCCUCACCCCGGUGAGGAGAAGGCACGCCGGCGGCCAAGUUAACUCUUGUUUUUACACUGAAACUCUGAGAAAAAACACAAAUGAAUCAAAACUUUCAACAACGGAUCUCUUGGUUCUGGCAUCGAUGAAGAACGCAGCGAAAUGCGAUAAGUAAUGUGAAUUGCAGAAUUCAGUGAAUCAUCGAAUCUUUGAACGCACAUUGCGCCCUCUGGUAUUCCGGAGGGCAUGCCUGUUCGAGCGUCAUUUCAACCCUCAAGCAUUGCUUGGUGUUGGGGCACUGCUUCUAACGAAGCAGGCCCUGAAAUCUAGUGGCGAGCUCGCCAGGACCCCGAGCGUAGUAGUUAAACCCUCGCUCUGGAAGGCCCUGGCGGUGCCCUGCCGUUAAACCCCCAACUUUUGAAAAUUUGACCUCGGAUCAGGUAGA
rnacentral:rRNA from 1 species